UUUUAUUACCUUCUAGUUUUAAUUUAUUUUACAGAUUAUUGUUACACGUGAUUUUAUGCUCUUUUAAACAUUUAUAAAUGUGCUGCUUCUUUGUUUUUACAUAGCCAGCCAGAAUGGAGUUCACAGCCGCAGUGUGUCUGGUGACCCACGGGGACCAUGAUGAAAAUUCAUCUUCCAGAAAGUCCCAGAGCAGCGGCCACACCCCCUGAAAAGACCAAGGUGUGAGGUGUCUGCUGUUGAUUCCAGCUUCCACCUCAGUGACAGUGCAAGCUCAGUGAACUGUUCAAGGACACUCAGCAAAAUAUGUACUCUACACCAUGAGGCAUGCACACGUUAAUACUCUAUAAGAGCACAUAAGCAUGAGGAUGUCCUCACACACCUGUAACCUAUCAGCUCAUCUGGCAGAAUAGAGAGAGAAGAGACAACACCACAUCUCCUGUUCCUGGAAAGCCUUCAGCCAUCCUUCGAUGACUGAGAACCUCCAUCAGCUCUGUCUCCUGUCUGCCCACAAUUAUUAUAAUAAAUAUUGUGUUUGACAAGUUU